rnacentral:rRNA from 1 species
AGUGAACGCUGGCGGUAGGCCUAACACAUGCAAGUCGAACAGCAGCACAGGAGAGCUUGCUCUCUGGGUGGCGAGUGGCGGACGGGUGAGGAAUACAUCGGAAUCUACCUUUUCGUGGGGGAUAACAUAGGGAAACUUACGCUAAUACCGCAUACGACCUACGGGUGAAAGUGGGGGACCGCAAGGCCUCACGCGAUUAGAUGAGCCGAUGUCCGAUUAGCUAGUUGGCGGGGUAAUGGCCCACCAAGGCGACGAUCGGUAGCCGGUCUGAGAGGAUGAUCAGCCACACUGGAACUGAGACACGGUCCAGACUCCUACGGGAGGCAGCAGUGGGGAAUAUUGGACAAUGGGCGCAAGCCUGAUCCAGCCAUACCGCGUGGGUGGAGAAGGCCUUCGGGUUGUAAAGCCCUUUUGUUGGGAAAGAAAUCCUGUCGAUUAAUACUCGGUGGGGAUGACGGUACCCAAAGAAUAAGCACCGGCUAACUUCGUGCCAGCAGCCGCGGUAAUAC